rnacentral:misc_RNA from 1 species
UCCCGAGCUAGUAAGACCAUUGUUAAAGGAGUUCGAGGAGUUGAUGUCAGAUGACAUACCGGAUGGAUUCCCACAUUGAUCUUAUUCUGGGUGCUAGCUUGCUAAAUUUGCCACACUAUCACAUGAGGGGUAAGAGAGUGAGAUACUUAAGGAGAAAGUGAAGGAGCUCUUGCAAAAGGGGCUUAUUAAGGAAAUCAUGAGUCCAUGUGCUAUUCCCACAUUGUUAACACCUAAGAAAGAUGGGAGUUGGAGGAUGUAUGUAGAUAGUUGUGUCAUCAACAAAAUUAUGGUGGGCUAUAAAUUCCCAAUUCCAUAAUUGGAUGAUAUGUUGGAUCAAUUACAUGGUGCUAG